GGCGCAAUAGCUCAGUGGUAGAGUCCACGAUUGCAAAUCGUGUUGUCCCGGGUUCGAACCCCGGUUGCUCCU
rfam:Sphaerobolus stellatus SS14 unplaced genomic scaffold SPHSTscaffold_378, whole genome shotgun sequence.